CCUGUAUAGAGGAAUGAAGCAAGGUAUUACAAGUAGGAACUAAGCUUUUGCCUAUUUAAAGUCAGGUCAUGUCCUCAGAAAGUCACAGUUUCAGCACCCCAAUUUGGUCUGACGGGUAAACGGCAAAUGUGAAAUCAUCAUAGCAAAUGACAUUAAUAUCAAAUAUAGAAUUAAAAUGUAUGCAACUUACCAGUAUUGCAACUAACCAGUCUUCAUUCAUCAGCACUUCUGUCCCCAUUUUCUAGUUUGUCCUUCGAUCUGUAUAAAAGUAAGCGGUCUUCAUUCAUCUGCAUUUUUCAUGUCACCAUUUUCUAGAUUCAGUCCUUCGAUCUGUCUUCAAGAUCUGAACUGCUCAAGUAACCCUCUUUCCUAGUAUAAUCAUUGGACCUGGUG